UUAACCUCCCCCAGUCGCUGCAAAUUCAGCGACUCGGGCUUGGCGGCCCGACAC
rnacentral:ncRNA from 1 species